rnacentral:rRNA from 1 species
UACGGGGGGGGCAAGCGUUGUUCGGAAUUACUGGGCGUAAAGGGCUCGUAGGCGGCCAACUAAGUCAGACGUGAAAUCCCUCGGCUUAACCGGGGAACUGCAUCUGAUACUGGAUGGCUUGAGUUCGGGAGAGGGAUGUAGAAUUCCAGGUGUAGCGGUGAAAUGCGUAGAUAUCUGGAGGAAUACCGGUGGCGAAGGCGGCAUCCUGGACCAUAACUGACGCUGAGGCGCGAAAGCUAGGGGAGCAAACGGG